UACGUAGGGUGCGAGCGUUGUCCGGAAUUAUUGGGCGUAAAGAGUUCGUAGGCGGUUUGUCGCGUCGGCCGUGAAAUCUCCACGCUUAACGUGGAGCGUGCGGUCGAUACGGGCAGACUUGAGUUCGGUAGGGGAGACUGGAAUUCCUGGUGUAGCGGUGAAAUGCGCAGAUAUCAGGAGGAACACCGGUGGCGAAGGCGGGUCUCUGGGCCGAUACUGACGCUGAGGAGCGAAAGCAUGGGGAGCGAACAGG
rnacentral:rRNA from 1 species